UACGGAAGGUUCUGGCGUUAUCCGGAUUUAUUGGGUUUAAAGGGAGCGUAGGCUGUUUUUUAAGCGUGUUGUGAAAUGUACCGGCUCAACCGGUGAUGUGCAGCGCGAACUGGAAGACUUGAGUGUGUUGUAAGUAGGCGGAAUUCGUGGUGUAGCGGUGAAAUGCUUAGAUAUCACGAGGAACUCCGAUUGCGUAGGCAGCUUACUGUCUCACUACUGACGCUGAUGCUCGAAAGCGCGGGUAUCGAACAGG
rnacentral:rRNA from 1 species